rnacentral:rRNA from 1 species
AUUGAACGCUGGCGGAAUGCUUUACACAUGCAAGUCGAACGGCAGCACGGACUUCGGUCUGGUGGCGAGUGGCGAACGGGUGAGUAAUGUAUCGGAACGUGCCCAGUCGUGGGGGAUAACGUAGUGAAAAUUACGCUAAUACCGCAUACGAUCUAUGGAUGAAAGCGGGGGAUCGCAAGACCUCGCGCGAUUGGAGCGGCCGAUAUCAGAUUAGGUAGUUGGUGGGGUAAAGGCCCACCAAGCCAACGAUCUGUAGCUGGUCUGAGAGGACGACCAGCCACACUGGAACUGAGACACGGUCCAGACUCCUACGGGAGGCAGCAGUGGGGAAUUUUGGACAAUGGGCGAAAGCCUGAUCCAGCCAUUCCGCGUGCAGGAUGAAGGCCCUCGGGUUGUAAACUGCUUUUGUACGGAACGAAAAGGUUUCUACUAAUACUAGGAGCUCAUGACGGUACUGUAAGAAUAAGCACCGGCUAACUACGUGCCAGCCGCCGCGGUAA